rnacentral:lncRNA from 1 species
UAGUCCUUUGACUUGAAGAAUAGGAUACCUUAUUGCAUUUUAGGAUCAGUAAAUUUAAGGCCAAAUCUAUGUAUCAACCAUGGAACCCUAGAUUAUAUCCUUGAUAAGGAGCAUACUAGUUUACUAGGCUCAGAUGUAAGUGAGGUUUAGGCUAUGUAACAUGAAAAGUAUUAUGUGGCAUGUGUCUAUAUCGAAUAGGACAUGAUCAAACACGUGUCCUACGCCCC